UAUUUAAAAACACAGUUUAUUAUUAAAAAUAUCCAACUGAUGGUGAUUAAUGACACAACAGUAGCAGGACACAGUACAUUACAGUUUCACAUCAGUCACUGAUGUUAGCAUUAGCGCAUUAACAUUAACAUUAGCGCAGUGGCUUGAGCUACACGGCUGUAGCUAACAAGUUGUUCUUAUUGUAUUCUGGUUCCUCUGCAUCCUGCUAAACAACAACAAAAAUUAGGAUUCCUAAACUAAGAGAGCUGUUAAACUUUGAUCAAGAAAACAUAAUGACUUUUAUCCAACGAUGACAAAGUUUAUUCGCCGUACACCAGUAUGCUUUGACAUGCUACUUAGCACUUUGAUGCACCAAAGUGUUAUACUCAAAAUCACACACAGAUUCAUAAUGACAUCAUUUUUUCGCUAUUGGUUUCUCAAUGUCAAUUUCUCAUCUCAACUUUACAGCAGAGACCACAAAGUUGAGAACACCAAGUUUAAUCUGUUUGAUCUGCAGUUCCUAAAUAAUUUAGUUCUUCCGAUUAUCUCGAUAGAUUAUCUCGACAGAAUAACUAUUAAUAAAACUGAGUUCUUAUUAUGAGAAAAAAAUAACAAUUUAACAACCUAAACAAUAUAUGACAUUUUUAAAAUUUUUUAAUUUCCUUCAAAGCAUGUGAUUGGCCAAAGGUAGGCUUCAGAAAAACCAAAAAAGUCCUAUGCUCGUGUACUGUAUAUCAGUCGGUGUGUUGUAGGCCCAGAAGGAGCUGUGAAAGAUGGUAGAGUUUGGACUGAAUCCAAAAACUCAUCCCAUUUAGGUAUAGCGUUUAAACAGUAAUCAAAUGAUAGCACAUUUGUUUGAAGGUUAUGUUGUAAAAGCAUCCUGCUGUGUAACAUAGGUUUUGGGCUCACUGCCCAGAUAUUUCACACACUUAAGCUCAUAAUGGUAUUUCUUAAGCUGUCAAUCAUCUGUCUCUCCCUCAUAAAUAAAAAGACUCGGACCAUGAAAGCAGACACAUUUUUUAAAAAUUUCAC
ensembl:lncRNA